UACGUAGGGUGCAAGCGUUGUCCGGAAUUAUUGGGCGUAAAGAGCUCGUAGGCGGUUUGUCGCGUCUGCUGUGAAAACCCGAGGCUCAACCUCGGGCCUGCAGUGGGUACGGGCAGACUAGAGUGCGGUAGGGGGAGAUUGGAAUUCCUGGUGUAGCGGUGGAAUGCGCAGAUAUCAGGAGGAACACCGAUGGCGAAGGCGGGUCGCUGGGCAGUAACUGACGCUGAGGAGCGAAAGCGUGGGGAGCGAACAGG
rnacentral:rRNA from 1 species